rnacentral:rRNA from 1 species
UACGUAGGGCGCAAGCGUUAUCCGGAAUUAUUGGGCGUAAAGAGCUCGUAGGCGGUUUGUCGCGUCUGCUGUGAAAGACCGGGGCUCAACUCCGGUUCUGCAGUGGGUACGGGCAGACUAGAGUGCAGUAGGGGAGACUGGAAUUCCUGGUGUAGCGGUGAAAUGCGCAGAUAUCAGGAAGAACACCCGUGGCGAAGGCGGCUCUCUGGGACGGUACUGACGCUGAGACGCGAAAGCGUGGGGAGCGAACAGG